GCACCACAAGAGCGUGGAGUAUGUGGCUUAAUUUGACUCAACGCGGAAAAGCUUAUCUGGUCCGGACACAGUGAGGAUUGACAGACAGUUUCAGGAGUGGUUCUUGGUAAACAAUGAGAGAGUUGAAGUUCUUUCAUGAUCUUGUGAGAGGUGGUGCAUGGCCGUUCUUAGUUCGUGUAGUGAUAUGUCUGCCUAAUCGCGUCACGAUAACCUAUUGGUCGACAACCCAAUUAUCACAACUGCAGCAUAACUCCCCUUGGGUGGGCGAGGCUCUGUGUAGGAUAGACCUCUGAACAGUACGCAACGAACGCGAUCGUAAUCCCUUGUUGAGUGGCCAUCCUGUAAGCUGCUGGAUUUGAAACCCAGUGGUAUUAUCUCAGCCACAGAUUUUCUGGUUGUAAUGGGCCAGUUUUGAAACUCGGGGAACAUCUGUGACUUUCUUUCUUAACGCA
rnacentral:rRNA from 1 species